GACAAAUCAGAUUAGUCAACAUACUAAAGAGAAUUUACAAUAUAUGUCCAGUAUACACGACUAAUUACAUCAUAAAUCAUUCUUUAAAAAAAUAAUUUAAAAAAAAACAAAGUUUAUUUCUACGAACAUACUACAGCUACAGCAUUGACUGAACCAACCCCUUCAGAAUAGGACGGGCUGUCAACAUUGGGCUGAACUCCACCCCAGUAUCCAUAUGUUGUCCUCUUCAUUAUCCUGAUGAAUUCCUCAACACUCACUUCUCCAUCACCUGUAUUAUAAGCAGGAUGUACAAAGUAUCUCAAACUAACACAGAUGCAAAAAGAAUUGUUUGCAUGUGCGAUAUCUCCAAUUUAUAAAUUCAUUCAUCUUAUUGUGUCACUAAAUUUCAUGCGCCAGCACCUUGCAACAAUCUAAAUGACAAAUGUAUGGUAGCAAGGACCAAGAACUAAUUAACAUGCCCAAUCAUCCAUGUCUGACAACAUAAUAGCAGAUAUGGAAGUGCGAAAUACAGAACACAGUUCCUGUGGACGGCUCAAUAGGAAUUCUCAAAUGCUGCAUCCAAGAGAAGGAUGCAUCUACUGCAGGAAGAGUAUUACACCUCACAGGCUCACACCUCACCACACAAGGCACCAAGUCAAAUUUAUUACAAACACUGCAUUCCUAUUCCUGCAUGCAUUUCUGUAAAGCAGGUUAGCUAUUACUUAGGUUCUUCAGCAAAAGCAACUUAAGGGGAUGCAUUGAUAAGAUUCCUAGAGCUACUAGUUAAGCUGCCAGGGUAUUUAAGAGUGAAAUACUCAUAAGACAAAGCUGUCCUAAAUAUUAAUAGGCUGCUGACACCACCAUAAAAAUGACCUCCAUAUGCUAGAUAAAAGUAUAACAAAGCCAUUACUAAGAGUUCUAUACUGAUUAGAUUCACAAAAAGGACAACUUUUGAAACUAAAUCAACAUAAGCUCUCUCAAUCCUGCGUUUGGCAGGCUAUGGAGGGAGUAUCAGUAAGCUUAAAAGCCCUCCCCAGAAAAUUCUACACACAUCGAAACAAGCAUUAACGAUACAUUAGGAGUUGUCAAAUCUUUCAAGUCAAUUAUCAGAAAACUAAUUAGAUGAGUGAAAUUUUAUUAUUAGUGUUAUCACAUAGUGUGCUGCUUUAUAAUGUUGAUUUCUUGCUCUGGCUGUCAUUAUCAGCAAACAGUAUUGCAAAUCUUCAUACGCAAUAAUAUUAACAAUGCGCUUCCGCAACUGUAAAAGCAGGCCACAAAUUCCAUGAUUUUGAAAACCAAGUUCAAAAUUUGACAACAAAUCGAGCAAAGCCAAAAGAUACCAUGAAGAAAUAAUAAGAGAAAGGAAUACCCUCAUCAUCCUUAUUGCUCCUCUUCUACUAAAAAUUCUUCUUUUAUAAAAAAUAAGGGAUAAAAUCUUCCAAACCCAGCUCACUUGGUAGGGAACUACGCACAUAUGGGCAUACAAUCUAGUCUAUAGGCAAUUAUUUUUUGACAAGAAUGAUCAAGUUGAGCAAAAAAUUUUUAUAGAUACAUGCAAUCAGAGAAAAGAAACUACAAUAAUGACAAAAAUAAGUAAUACUAACAAAAUUCAUAAGAUGACGUCCUCGAGAAGGACACAAUUUCAACCAAACAUAUUAGGAAUUCUGCAAACAUGCGAAGCAUGGAAACGGCUAUGGAUGAUGUUUUCCCGUUUCAGAAACGUUUCCGACCGGAAACGGAAAAGAAACGUUUCAGGGUCGUGUCCUUAAAUUUCGAAAGUGGAAACGCGUUUGAAAAAAAAAAAAACAAGAAAUUGACCGCGUCGCAGACAGAGGGGAAGGAGGAGAAGAAGAACCACUUACCAAAGGAAGAACACGAAGAACAACCCACAAGUGUGCAAGAUAGAAUCCUCAAAAUGCGUCACCACCAACAAGCAACAAUCCCCAGUGAAGAACGACCAAAACGCUAAAACAGAUGCAGAAAGGAAUUGAAUGGGAAGGGGCAACGGGCAGUCGGGUUGAUAAAAGGAAAAUUCUGAAUAUUUUUAAAUUAAUGAAGGGAGUGGGCUGGGCUGGGCUGGGCUGGGCUUUAAAGGUGGGUACAUCACAAAUUAAUUUGUUUGGUUUGGAGUUCUGGGCUAAAUUAAAAAGAUAAUUAGGGUAAUUUUUAACAUAGAUUAUAUUUACUCCCUAUUUCGGGAUUAAAUAUCAAAAUUACUAAAAUCCAAUUUUUUUUUAUUAAAAUUUGUUAAAAAAAAUUUCUUGAAUAUAUAUUUUUAUUUUUUUAUGUUGUUUAUAACAUUUUUCAUGUCCACAUUUCCAUUUUUUACAUAUCUGCAAACUGCAGCAAGAAAAAAAGCAGAAUAACUUACGACCUCGGUUAGCUUCAUCAACCAUCUCUCGAAUCUCUCUGUCAAUGAAGUUCUCGCUUAAUGUCAUCAACAGAUAUAUUUCCAUUGUUAUCUUGG
rnacentral:misc_RNA from 1 species